rnacentral:rRNA from 1 species
UACGUAGGUGGCGAGCGUUAUCCGGAAUGAUUGGGCGUAAAGGGUGCGUAGGUGGCAGAUCAAGUCUGGAGUAAAAGGUAUGGGCUCAACCCGUACUGGCUCUGGAAACUGAUCAGCUAGAGAACAGAAGAGGACGGCGGAACUCCAUGUGUAGCGGUAAAAUGCGUAGAUAUAUGGAAGAACACCGGUGGCGAAGGCGGCCGUCUGGUCUGGAUUCUGACAUUGAAGCACGAAAGCGUGGGGAGCAAAUAGG